GAGAGAGAGAGAUCAAACAAAAUCAUCCUUCUCUCUCUCUUUCGCAUUAUUUCCUGCCUUUUAAAAAAAAAAAUUCGAUCAGGCAUUAUUUCCUGCUUGUUCUGUAGGAAUAUGAGUACAUUUUGUUCAUAUGAUAUUGGGGCCACUUUUGCAAUAAAAAGAUAAAAGUAAAAUAAAAAUGUUGAGGUGCUUUUCAUGCGGGGGAAAUAGGCAACUAAAGGAUAUUGACGAUGGAAUGGUCGUUCGCUCAUCUAACUCUUCUGGUUCUGAGCAUGGGAGUAGAAGACGUUUAUUUACCGGUAGAGGCAAUGAAAACGGCAGCCAAAAGGGCAAUGUGGCCCGUAGCUUCACAUUCCGCGAGCUUUCUACAGCGACUAGAAACUUUAGGGAAUCGAAUUUGAUUGGGGAAGGAGGUUUUGGAAGAGUUUUCAAGGGCCGUCUAGAUUCUGGGCAGAUUGUUGCAAUUAAACAACUUAAUCUCAAUGGGUUUCAAGGAAACCAGGAAUUUAUUGUUGAGGUUCUUAUGUUGAGCCUACUGCAUCAUCCCAACCUUGUUAACCUGAUUGGCUAUUGCACUGAUGGAGAUCAAAGACUUUUGGUUUAUGAGUACAUGCAGAUGGGUAGCUUGGAGGAUCAUCUUUUUGAUAUUGAACCUGACAAAGAGCCACUGGAUUGGAGCACCAGAAUAAAGAUAGCUGUUGGUGCAGCUCGGGGCCUUGAGUAUCUCCACUGCAAAGCAAAUCCACCAGUUAUCUACCGCGACCUUAAAUCUGCAAAUAUACUGUUGGACGAAAACUUCUAUCCUAAACUCUCAGAUUUUGGGCUUGCUAAAUUGGGUCCCGUUGGUGACAAUACCCAUGUUUCAACAAGAGUAGUCGGAACAUUUGGAUACUGUGCCCCGGAGUAUGCCAUGAGUGGCAAAUUGACUUUGAAAUCUGACAUCUAUAGCUUUGGUGUCCUUCUAUUGGAGCUGAUCACUGGGCGUAAGGCGAUUGACCUCUCUAGAAAGGCCGGUGAGCAGAACCUUAUUGUUUGGUCUCGUCCUUUCUUAAACAAUCCAAAGAACUUCGUUCGAUUGGCUGAUCCCAGGCUGCAAGGAAGCUUCCAUGUCCGUGCUUUGUACCAAGCAAUUGCCAUUACUGCAAUGUGUCUUCGGGAGACAGCAAAUCUUCGCCCCCUCAUUGGUGAUAUUGUUGUAGCACUGGAGUACUUGGCCUCUCAAUCUAAUAAAAAGUCAAAUAGGGGUCUGCCUCGCUCUCCCCCAUCACCAUCACCAUCACCAUCACCAUCACCAUUGAAGCACGGCAACGACUCGCUUUCUCGAGAUCGAGAUUUUAGAGGCUUUUCAUCUAUUUGAAGGCUGUUGGUGCAAGUUGAGGUGUGAUUUACAGUCAGGGUACACUCCUUAUACUGGGAUUUCGCAUAAUUUGGUUUCUUAAGGCUUUUAAGUUUGUGUAUAUUUGAGCUGAAGUGAAUAAUUUGUCUUCCUGGUUGAAGCAUGAGGUGACAUUAUUGUGCUGCGAUUGGAUAUAACUUCUACAAUUUUUAAUUUAUGGUGACCUAUUCCAAUCCCGUUGAAUGUAAUGUAAAUGUAAAGAUGAUUUGGUGACGUAGGUAGGAUUUGUUUAAAUUGGAAAUAAUAUGUCAAGUCGCGUGCAAAUUUCUUCAGUGGGUAUAUUCUUUUACUGAUAUUAUGAAUGAGCACAAAUAUUUUUUCUUCA